rnacentral:rRNA from 1 species
UACGUAGGUGGCAAGCGUUAUCCGGAAUUAUUGGGCGUAAAGCGCGCGCAGGCGGUUUCUUAAGUCUGAUGUGAAAGCCCACGGCUCAACCGUGGAGGGUCAUUGGAAACUGGGAACUUGAGUGCAGAAGAGAAAAGCGGAAUUCCACGUGUAGCGGUGAAAUGCGUAGAGAUGUGGAGGAACACCAGUGGCGAAGGCGGCUUUUUGGUCUGUAACUGACGCUGAGGCGCGAAAGCGUGGGGAG